GUUGUAGUGUGCGCUCACUUGUCUGCGAGGGGUUCAUGAUGCACACUCAAGAAUCAUGGCCGCCCUGGGUCUGUUUCCCUAGAGGCAAAACUAGAGUCUUAGAAAACUGCCCGCUCUCUCCAGCGGGGUUAAACAAAGUGCUUCUGACUUUGACCUCAAGUGGUCCUGGCCAAUUCCAUACUAUUCAGCUUUCAUUCACACAGAGAGGGACCUGACCUGAAGCUUUCAGGCCUGGAAGUCACACAGGAAAGUCGGAGCCACGCUUCAUCUGAGCCUUCAAAGCUGUUCAGUGUGCUCAGAAAACAGGACAAGCAGCUCUUCUCCACUGUUUCUGAUGUUCCCAGGCUCAGCAGAUGCAAAAUGCCCCCUGGGGCCUUGUUUUCAAAGGGGAAUAAAGUGGGGGAGUAUUUUUAA